rnacentral:rRNA from 1 species
UGCGUAGGCGGCGCGGUAAGUCGGGUGUGAAAUCUCGGAGCUUAACUCCGAAACUGCAUUCGAUACUGCCGUGCUUGAGGACUGGAGAGGAGACUGGAAUUUACGGUGUAGCGGUGAAAUGCGUAGAUAUCGUAAGGAAGACCAGUGGCGAAGGCGGGUCUCUGGACAGUUCCUGACGCUGAGGCAAGGUCAGGGGAGGCGAAACG